rnacentral:rRNA from 1 species
GUUUGAUCAUGGCUCAGAUUGAACGCUAGCGGCGUGCCUAACACAUGCAAGUCGAACGAGCGAUGAAGGAAGCUUGCUUUUUUCAGAGCUAGUGGCGCACGGGUGAGUAACACGUGGAUGAUCUACCCAUUUGUACGGGAUACCAGUUGGAAACGGCUGUUAAUACCGGAUACGAUCCAUAUUUAGCUUUAUGGGUGAAAGGCGGCGCAAGCUGUCGCAGAUGGAUGAGUCCGCGGCUCAUUAGCUAGUUGGUGAGGUAAUGGCUCACCAAGGCAAUGAAGAGUAGCCGGCCUGAGAGGGUGAACUGCCACACUGGGACUGGAACACGGCCCAGUCUCCUACGGGAGGCAGCAGUGGGGAAUAUUGCGCAAUGGGCGAAAGCCUGACGCAGCGACGCCGCGUGAGGGAUGAAGGCCUUCGGGUCGUAAACUUCUGUCAGGAGGGAAGAAACGUAUGGUGAGUAACUGCUCCAUAAUUGACGGUCCUUCAGAGGAAGCACCGGCUAACUCCGUGCCAGCAGCCGCGGUAAUACGGAGAGUGCAAGCGUUAAUCGGAAUUACUGGGCGUAAAGCGCGCGUAGGCGGCGAUACAAGCCAGAAGUGAAAGCCCAGGGCUUACCCCUGAAAUUGCUUUUGGAACUGUCUUGCUUGAGUUCGUGAGAUGGUGGCGGAAUUCCUGGUGUAGGAGUGACAUCCGUAGAGAUCAGGAGGAAUACCGGUGGCGAAGGCGGCCACCUGGCACGAUACUGACGCUGAGGUGCGAAAGCGUGGGGAGCAAACAGGAUUAGAAACCCUGGUAGUCCACGCUGUAAACGAUGGAUACUAGGUGUCGGGGGUUUACCCUCGGUGCCGCAGUUAACGCAUUAAGUAUCCCGCCUGGGGUGAAGUCGUAAC